UACGUAGGGUGCGAGCGUUAAUCGGAAUUACUGGGCGUAAAGCGUGCGCAGGCGGUGAUGUAAGACCGAUGUGAAAUCCCCGGGCUUAACCUGGGAACUGCAUUGGUGACUGCAUUGCUGGAGUAUGGCAGAGGGGGGUGGAAUUCCACGUGUAGCAGUGAAAUGCGUAGAGAUGUGGAGGAACACCGAUGGCGAAGGCAGCCCCCUGGGCCAAUACUGACGCUCGAUGCAGACGAAGCGUGGG
rnacentral:rRNA from 1 species